AUUGAACGCUGGCGGCAUGCCUUACACAUGCAAGUCGAGCGGCAGCGCGGGGCAACCUGGCGGCGAGCGGCGAACGGGUGAGUAAUACAUCGGAACGUGCCCAGACGUGGGGGAUAACUACUCGAAAGAGUGGCUAAUACCGCAUACGAUCUACGGAUGAAAGCGGGGGAUCGCAAGACCUCGCGCGUCUGGAGCGGCUGAUGGCAGAUUAGGUAGUUGGUGGGAUAAAAGCCUACCAAGCCAACGAUCUGUAGCUGGUCUGAGAGGAUGAUCAGCCACACUGGGACUGAGACACGGCCCAGACUCCUACGGGAGGCAGCAGUGGGGAAUUUUGGACAAUGGGCGAAAGCCUGAUCCAGCCAUUCCGCGUGCAGGAUGAAGGCCCUCGGGUUGUAAACUGUC
rnacentral:rRNA from 1 species